ensembl:lncRNA
GUUGUUUUGGUUUUGGAGAGGUACUCAUCUCUCCUUGUCACAUGAAAUGAUGCUGGAGAGACGAAGCAGUUUUCUCCUCUCUCACAGUAGGAAAGCAGCAGAACCAAUCCCAGGCGAAGACCCUGACGAGCUACCCAUAAACAUUGGAGAAUGGGUGAAACUCAGGGUCCACAAGCGAAAAAUGGAACCAACCACGAUGGAUGGGUCUGUUCCAUGUAACCAUGGUAACACCAACAGCGCUGCGGGUAGAGGAGAGGUCCGGCUAGCAUCAUCUCUCCAAUUGCAAGCAUCUCCCAGAGUGGAAGCCAUGGAUGAGCGACUGGAGGAAGGGAGAGCAGAGCCCCGAGAACAUCUGAAGGAGGAAGAAGGUCCAAGCCAAAGGACAGGAGCAGAAGGCUGAGACCAAAGGUCAGAAGAACCAACAGAGGGUUCAGCCAUAGAACCUGAAGAGUCAUCAGAUGUCGAGGAAACCAUCAUACACACACACUAUGGUUGUGAAACCAGAAAAUCGCAACCAUGGAAAAACACAUACAGGGUAUUUAUUGCUCUCCAAAUCCUACUUGUUCCCUUUGUGGACGGGGAUGUGGAGAAUAAUAAAUGGGGGAAAUCAGUGACAUACAUAGGAUUACAGGGGAGGGGGAACACAUCUGGCACACAGGCAAUGAUUCUCCAGAAACCCACCCCCACAGCCUCUCUGUCAGGAACCCAGGCAGUACCAAUUGGAAAGAAUGAUUUUGGUUGUUAAUUACUCAAUUUUAUGCAAUGGUACAACACCAGGGUUCGACAAAGAAACAGCAAUUAUACUAUUCUGAUGUUGGUCACUAGGGGGAAGGAAGUAACAUGUGAAAAUGGAUUAUCCAAUAAGGCAAUAGGUAAUAGUACAGAUGCAGCUGAAGAAUUUAAGGAGAGUGGGCACAUUGAGACUAAAUGGCCAAGGUAGGAGAAGGUUCCUAGCGUACAACCAGGCAACAAUUCCCAUCUGAUUAAAUGCAUAGGACCUCCAAAAGUACAAUGGGGAGAGUAUUUGACUUGUAGUGUAAAGCCCCUAAAUGAUAAAGGAGAUGUUGUGUUAACAGGAUUAAAACCCACAAUAACUGUGUGGAUAUAUGGAUAUAGGAAACACCACUAAUUGCCUGUCUUACACAGGCCUAAAAACAGAUACCAGUAGUUUUGAUGUGCUGGAUGGGCAACAACUGAUAACUAGGGUAAAUAUGUCAAACAUAAGCAAAGGCAUGGAGACAACUCCGGAUCAUCUCUGGAUCUGUGGGGGUAUUGGGUACAUUUCCCUCCCCAUGGGAUGGAAAGGGUGUUAUUAUCUGGGGGAAACUGAACUGACAGUAACAACAUUACUUGCUUCUGAGCUGCUGAACAGUUCUUUGCAAAUUAGUUUCAGAUCGAUUGGCAGAGCUAAAAGAGCAGUGGCUCAAAAUAAUGAAGCUUAUGGACAUGUGCCGUCUCAGGUAGAGAUGGCAGCCCUAGGAAUCUUUCCAGGUGCAGGAGUUGUAGUAAAGGGUAAGGGGAUUAACCAUUUGGCAUACUCCAUGCAGGCCCUUACUAAUUUGAUAGUACAGGGUUUUACUCAGUUAUCACUAAUUGUGCAAAUGUGAAGGCAGUAGUGACCAGAGAUGAAAGACAGAGGGGCCUACAGGUCCCUUGGAAUAAACAAUGAGGAUUACUGUGUCAUGUUGCUUCCUGACUCCUCUGUAGGACUACUGUGUUUUGCUGUUGCUUUAUGUAUAAUAAAGUGCUUGGCUAGAAAGACUGUUGAACAUUUGGGGA